rnacentral:rRNA from 1 species
GAUGAACGCUGGCGGCGUGCUUAACACAUGCAAGUCGAACGGAAAGGCCCUGCUUUUGUGGGGUGCUCGAGUGGCGAACGGGUGAGUAACACGUGAGUAACCUGCCCUUGACUUUGGGAUAACUUUAGGAAACUGGGGCUAAUACCGGAUAGGAGCUCUUGCUGCAUGGGGGGGGUUGGAAAGUUUCGGCGGUUGGGGAUGGACUCGCGGCUUAUCAGCUUGUUGGUGGGGUAGUGGCUUACCAAGGCUUUGACGGGUAGCCGGCCUGAGAGGGUGACCGGCCACAUUGGGACUGAGAUACGGCCCAGACUCCUACGGGAGGCAGCAGUGGGGAAUAUUGCACAAUGGGCGGAAGCCUGAUGCAGCGACGCCGCGUGCGGGAUGACGGCCUUCGGGUUGUAAACCGCUUUCGCCUGUGACGAAGCGUGAGUGACGGUACUGGGUAAAGAAGCACCGGCUAACUACGUG